AUGGACCUCAGCUGCUCCUGCGCCACCGGUGGCUCCUGCACCUGUGCCAGCUCCUGCAAAUGCAGAGUACAAAUGCACCUCCUGCAAGAAGAACUGCUGUUCCUACUGCCCCAUGGGUUGUGCCAAACGUGCCCAGGGCCGCACCUGCAAAGGGGCAUUGGAGAAGUGCAGCUGCUGCGCCUGAUGUUGGGACAGCCCUGCGUCCAGAUGUAAAUAAUGCAACCCCUACAAACCUAGUUUUUUUAAAACACAAACCUAACCCAUUUCCUAUGUCUGUUUUCUUAAGUGAAAUGUGGGAAUGAUAAUAAACAUUAUUGGCCUUA